CGCAAUUACAAUUCUCGUGAUCAAAAUCAGGACUGACCAAGAAGCGGUACGCACUUUGAUUGAACUCAUGGAUGAACAAGAACCACAACCUACAGAGACCCUGCCAUCUUUUUUAAAAGACACCAAUGAUGUACUAAGAAAAUUAGACAACUUGCAACUCGAAUCCGAUAUGGUUAUAGCUACCUGUGAUGUGGAGGCACUUUACACUUCUAUCCGACAUAGUGACGGAAUACGAGCGAAAAAGUACUUCUGCCAACACUAUACUUCAUGCAAAAUCCGGACACCCCACGACACCUAGUGAAUAACAUUCCAACUGGACAAUAUCUUCGGGCACGACGUAUUUGUUCCAAUACCUUGGACUUCGAGAAACAAGCUGAAGAUCUUCAGGUUAAAAGACGUACCACCAAACAGGAUUCCGAUACCGUUAGAUUCAUCACAACAUACCACUCACGGACCCAAGAUAUGAACACAGCAAUUGCAAAAUACUGGCCCUUACUUACGACAGACCAGGU